CCUACGGGCGGCAGCAGUGAGGAAUAUUGGUCAAUGGACGAGAGUCUGAACCAGCCAAGUAGCGUGAAGGAUGACUGCCCUAUGGGUUGUAAACUUCUUUUAUAUGGGAAUAAAAUGUUCCACGUGUGGGAUUUUGUAUGUACCAUAUGAAUAAGGAUCGGCUAACUCCGUGCCAGCAGCCGCGGUAAUACGGAGGGUCCGAGCGUUAUCCGGAUUUAUUGGGUUUAAAGGGAGCGUAGGUGGAUUGUUAAGUCAGUUGUGAAAGUUCGCGGCUCAACCGUAAAAUUGCAGUUGAAACUGGCAGUCUUGAGUACAGUAGAGGUGGGCGGAAUUCGUGGUGUAGCGGUGAAAUGCUUAGAUAUCACGAAGAACUCCGAUUGCGAAGGCAGUUCACUGGACUGCAACUGACACUGAGGCUCGAAAGUGUGGGUAUCAAACAGGAUUAGAUACCCGAGUAGUC
rnacentral:rRNA from 1 species